UAUUGUAAAAAUUAAAAACUGUUUCGUGGCCGUAUUACUUUGGCACUGACAACAGCAUUGCAGUCUUUACAUCUUGCUGUGGUCUUGUUGUUGUCCUCAACAAUAUCAUAGAAAUUCCAAAAUGUUUUGUUGAAGCCAUAGAUAGUAUGAUGGGGUAAGUGUUUUCUAUUUCUGUUCAAAUUCUUUAGUUUAUCAAGAACUACCUAUUGUUUCAAAUCUUCAUUUAACUGUUAAAUAAACAUUUUAGGGGGUGUGCUGGUGAUGUUUUCAUAAACAAUAACAUGUACACUGGUCCUCUCUGGUCCCAGAGUAUGCUAAUUAACAACUGUCAACUCUGUUUCCUGUGCUCAGGUACAUCUCCUGCUCUGUACAUUGCAACACAUUCAUACAUGCCAACUUUCCCGAUUUAGGCGGGAUCUUCCCGAUUUUACCCUCCGGUCCCGCUUUCCCGAUCGGGAAAGCAAAAUUACCCUAAAAUCCCGAUUUGAAAUUUUUCCGACCAAAAUUUCCGAUUUCACGAUUGAAAACGAGUUUGAAAGCGGGAUAAUCAUGAAAUCUCGUGACCAGAAUUGGAAAUUCAGCGUCAUUUCUGAACUGGCCAAUCAGAAAUUGGGACAAUAGUCAGCCAUUGCUGUUUACCUGUGUCGCAUGGUGUCGGGUUGGUCUGCCUGUGUCGGGGUGUUUAUUGGACAGUACGAAGCAUGUUUUGAUAGUAAUUAAUCGGGAAGACGGAUUUCAAAUUGACCUAUCCUUUACACAAACGUGAAUGACAACGAUGCUAGUGUCACCACCAAACAAUCGGACAUUCCGCCUCUCUCUGACAGCAUCCAAAAUUUGCAAUAAGAUGUCAUGGGUGCAAAGGUUUUGUUCGCAAACUUCAUAGCAGGGCAGAUCACUCCUUUUUUGGUUGCAAUGCAGAUUAUUCCACCAGUCUCUGCAAGCCCAUGUUUACAGACAAGCAAGAUCGCCUUUGCAGUCGUACCUAAAUGCAUGUGCUUUAAUUUAAAUUUUGAUAUAUAGACCGGCCAAUGUUUAUUGUAUGGUGUAAAAGGAUGCAACCUUAAAUAUUAUUUGAUAUUAUGUAUGUGACUUGUUGGAGAAGAUUUUUUGCUGAAUAGAUGAUUUUAAUAAAAUAUUAAUGUAUA